GGGUUACAAGGAAUGAGAAGCGCCAGAGAGAGAGUGCCUGAGUAUACGUCCCUUCAAAGAACCAAAGAAGAUAACUACUAUUUACGGAAAAACUACUUUAUUAUCUAAUGCAUCUUCGAGAAAGUCUACUACAACAGAGACAGUGCUUUUAUUCUUAAUGUUCUACUUGCUUUUCUUCUUGCUGGAACAAAGCUUAUUAUUGAACUUGUGCAAACUACUACUUGAGUCAAAGUACACUACCGUUCUUAUUAA
rnacentral:lncRNA from 1 species